AGCGAACGCUAGCGGGUGGCUUAACACAUGCAAGUCGAGCGGGGUCUUCGGGCCCAGCGGCGAACGGGUGAGUAACACGUAGGAUAUCUGCCUUUUGGUGGGGCAUAGCCGGGGGAAACCCCGAUUAAUACCGCAUAUGGCCUAUGGGUCAAAGCCUUCGGGCGCCAAGAGAGGAGCCUGCGGCCCAUUUAUUUAAUCCUAGUUGGUGGGGUAAUGGCCUACCAAGGGUACGAUGGGUAGCUGGGUCUGAGAGGACGAUCAGCCACACUGGAACUGAGACACGGUCCAGACUCCUACGGAGGCAGCAGUGGGGAAUAUUGCGCAAUGGCGGAAGCCUGACGCAGCCAACCCGCGUGUGUGAU
rnacentral:rRNA from 1 species